AUGGUUUAUCUUGGUGUUAUUGAAAGGACCUUCCUAAAUAGACUGGCUCAUCAUCUGCAGCUCCACAAGGAUCACUUCAGAGACCCUGAACAUUUUAGUUCUCCUGAGACUGUGAAAAGUAAAGGCUGUUCCCCAGUUUGCAGAUGGUCCCAGUAUCAGACACGACAAAUUUUAACCAGCAGGUGUUUCUUGCGGGCUUUUACCAGUAGCAGACAAAAGUUCAGAGGAACUUAAGUCUGUAUUAGAGAGCAUCCAUGAAGCCUGCAACCUUUUCCCUCAUCCAGUGUCCAAAAGGUGCAAUCAAACUAUUUUUUCUUUCUUUAUGGAUUCUGAAAUGCAUGUAAUGGUGAAUAUUUUAAAAUUUUAUGUCUAUAUAUAAAAGAUCAUUCUAUGUAAAUGUAUUAAAAAAAAGAAAUGUAAUUAACAUGAAGGAAUUGCCUAAAUAGUAUUUUACACAUCUGUGAAACUUGGGCAGAUGCAUGGAACUGUUUUCUGCUGCUAUGUUUGCAGCACUGGGAGUGUGAGAUCAAAUGGCUUUUUGCCCACAAAGUAGCUAAUUAGUUCUGGUUAAUCUGUGAUGGGCAGAAGGCCUGAAUGUGCCUUCCUGAGAAGGAUCUUGUCCUGAGAAAGGAGGGACAAGAUCAGGGGAGACCGGAGUUCAAGGGGUGAUUUAGCUUUCCACCACAAGCUUUUCCCAGGCCUUGAAAAUACAAACGAUUUACUGAAGCAUAUAUUACAUUUCAGUCAUGUCCAGGUUUUGCAGUUGUCCUUUUUGCUUCUCUCCAUCCCUAGGGGGGAAAAAAAAUCUCUAGGAGUAGGGGAGAAGCUGCAGCUGAUCCCUAUUUUGUUUAACCUUUGCAUGCUCCUAGCUGAUGUAAAGGAUUGGUAACUAAUUCUGCUCCAAGCAAGGAAUGGAGGACUUCUCAUUGAGUUUGACUGGAGAUGGAGUAGGACUUUAACAGCCUCAGAAAGGAAGGAUGGCAGAAGGCAAGAACUUUCUGAGGACUCCUUACAGCAGUGCAGACCUUGGAUCUUGUGCUUGCAGUCACUUGUCCCCUUUGAAAUAUUAUUUGCUGCCAGGUCAAGAGAAGGGCUAGAAGCUGGACACUGUGAAGAGGACUGUCUCCAUCCCACUGGCCCUGGUUUUGUGAUUAUUUUUCCUGCUAGCUCUGAUGAAUUGCAGUUUUGUUUAGCUUUUUUUUCUCUGUGUGGACUUGCCUGCCUCUGUGCAUGAUUGUCAAAAAAUUAAAAAAAAAAAAAAAAAAAAAAAGGGGGGGGGGGGGGGGGGGGGGGGGGGGGGGGGGGGGGGGGGGGGGGGGGGGGAAAAAAAAAAAAAAGAAGAAAAACAACAGCCACAAAAGAAAGAUGUUUUGCCAGGUCUCAGCCAUGAGAUUAAACUGGAGUUUUUAUAAAAACAGAUCUGUGCCCUAGUGAUGUUUUGGAACAUUUUAUUUUUUUCUGAAUUUGGUUUAUAAAUACAGUGCAAAUGCUUUUGUCAUCUUCUGACAUGGAGUCUGAGCCCCUCUUUUGUUUUGUGAGUGGCCAGGGCACUGAUCUGUGUUUGUGUGGGCUUUGAUGGUGGGGACUUAAAGUUAGGGCCUGACCACACACUUUUCUGAUUGGAGGUUAUGGAAACUGCUGUUGCUCUGCAGCUCUGAAAUUGAAGUGAGAUUUGGAGAUUUCUGUAAAAUUACUGUUAUCCGAAAUGCUUUAAAAUUUUCAAGAGUAAAAUAAUUUUUCUCUUACUAUUGCUAGCUCUACCAGGCUGAAGUUUCAGUGAUGUGAAACUGUGUCCUCCUGUUUAGCACAUCUCCCACACAAUUCUGCUUUGCCUGUGAUAAUGCAGAGCAACUCAGAGUAGAGUAUGGAAAAACUUUGUGAUCCCAGUGCUUGUACAGCAGAAUCCAAGCUGGAACAGGGGAAGUUACUAUGAAGGAAUCUGGUGCAUCAUGCAUGCACUUCUGUUGAUUUGUAAAGGACAAGCAAGAACUUUAACAAAUUAUGAAUUUAGUUCCUUGGCUCUCACUAAACCAGUCUCUGUGCUGUAGCAUGGAAGUGAAUAUUAUGUGUCCCUUAUUCCAUCCUGGGAUCAGAGAGAGGAAAAAAAAAAAAAAAAAAAGGGGGGGGGGGGGGGGGGGGGGGGGGGGGGGGGGGGGGGGGGGGGGGGGGGGGGGGGGGGGGGGGGGGGGGGGGGGGGGGGGGGGGGGGGGGGGGGGGG
rnacentral:lncRNA from 1 species